CUGCUCUCGCUUCAACAGUGUUUGGAUAGAGCAG
rfam:Sus scrofa chromosome 11.